rnacentral:rRNA from 1 species
UACGUAGGGACCGAGCGUUGUCCGGAUUCAUUGGGCGUAAAGAGCGUGUAGGCGGCCAGGUAGGUCGGUUGUGAAAACUGGAGGCUCAACCUUCAGAGGUCGACCGAAACCAUCUGGCUAGAGUCCGGGAGAGGAGAGUGGAAUUCCUGGUGUAGCGGUGAAAUGCGCAGAUAUCAGGAAGAACACCCGUGGCGAAAGCGGCUCUCUGGAACGGUACUGACGCUGAGACGCGAAAGCGUGGGGGGCGAACAGG